GUAUUUAAAGUUUUUAAUGAGAGUUUGAUUCUGGCUCAGAACGAACGCUGGCGGCGUGCCUAACACAUGCAAGUCGAACGGAGUUUAUUUUGUAGCAAUACAGGAUAAACUUAGUGGCGCACGGGUGAGUAACACGUAGGUAACUUGCCCUUAAGAGGGGAACAACUCAGGGAAACUUGAGCUAAUACCCCAUAAGACCACGAACUGAAAUGUUAGUGGUAAAAGGAGUAAUCCGCUUAAGGAUGGGCCUGCGGCCUAUCAGGUAGUUGGUGAGGUAACGGCCCACCAAGCCUAAGACGGGUAGCCGGACUGAGAGGUCGAACGGCCACACUGGAACUGAGACACGGUCCAGACUCCUACGGGAGGCAGCAGUGGGGAAUUUUGCACAAUGGGCGAAAGCCUGAUGCAGCGACGCCGCGUGGAGGAUGAAGGCCU
rnacentral:rRNA from 1 species